CAUUAGUCUUUUAAUUGGAGGCUAGAAUGAACGGUUGGACGAGAUAUUUACUGUUUCAUAAAAAUUUAUAAUAAAACUUUAUUUUUUAGUAAAAAAGCUAAAAUAUAUUUAAAAGACGAGAAGACCCUAUAAAUCUUUAUAUAUUUUUUUAUUUAUUAAUUAUUUAGAAAUUUUUAAUUAUAUUAGUAAAAUAUAUUUUAUUGGGGUGAUAUUAAAAUUUAAAAAACUUUUAGUUAUUGUUUUUCAUUAAUUUAUGAAUUAUUGAUCCAAUUUUAUUGAUUAAAAAUUUAAGUUACUUUAGGGAUAACAGCGUAAUUUUUUUGGAGAGUUCAUA
rnacentral:rRNA from 1 species